rnacentral:rRNA from 1 species
GACGGAGGAUGCAAGUGUUAUCCGGAAUCACUGGGCGUAAAGCGUCUGUAGGUUGUUUAAAAAGUCUGCAGUUAAAGGUUGAAGCUUAACUUCAAAAAUGCCGUAGAAACUUUUAAACUAGAGGAUGGUAGGGGUAGAGGGAAUUUCCAGUGGAGCGGUGAAAUGUGCAGAUAUUGGAAAGACCACCGAUGGCGAAGGCACUCUACUGGGCCAUGACUGACACUGAGAGACGAAAGCUAGGGGAGCAAAUGGG